rnacentral:rRNA from 1 species
GACGAAGGAUGCAAGCGUUAUCCGGAUUCAUUGGGUUUAAAGGGUGCGUAGGCGGUCCUGUAAGUCAGUGGUGAAAGCUCUCAGCUUAACUGAGAAACUGCCAUUGAUACUGCAAGACUUGAGUACAGAUGAUGUUGGCGGAAUAUGACAUGUAGCGGUGAAAUGCAUAGAUAUGUCAUAGAACACCGAUUGCGAAGGCAGCUGACAAAACUGUAACUGACGCUGAGGCACGAAAGUGUGGGGAUCAAGCAGG